rnacentral:lncRNA from 1 species
GAUAUCAUGAAUUCAUAUAUAAUCUGUAACAUAGCACAUAUCAUACUUUUAUAUUUCAAUCAUCAAACAAUAGUUGCCCCCUUUUCAUCAACCUACUAGUAUCCAUGGGAAUCCAUAGGGGUCCCCACUACACGUGAACCAUUCCUUUAACAAACUUAAUUUCUAGGGCCGUCCCCAUACCCCGUUCGGUAUGGACGCCAAACAAUAAACCUCAAUACCCAGUCCGGUAUGAGGGUGAAGCAGG